UACGUAGGGGGCGAGCGUUGUCCGGAUUUAUUGGGCGUAAAGAGCUCGUAGGCGGCUUGGCAAGUCGGGUGUGAAAACUCCAGGCUCAACCUGGAGAUGCCACUCGAGACUGCUAUGGCUAGAGUCCGGUAGGGGACCACGGAAUUCCUGGUGUAGCGGUGAAAUGCGCAGAUAUCAGGUGGAACACCGGUGGCGAAGGCGGUGGUCUGGGCCGGCACUGACGCUGAGGAGCGAAAGCGUGGGGAGCGAACAGG
rnacentral:rRNA from 1 species